rnacentral:rRNA from 1 species
GACGAACGCUGGCGGCGUGCUUAACACAUGCAAGUCGAACGCUGAAGACCUGGCUUUUGUUGGGUUGGAUGAGUGGCGAACGGGUGAGUAACACGUGAGUAACCUGCCCUCUUCUUUGGGAUAACGCCCGGAAACGGGUGCUAAUACUGGAUAUUCACUGCUCUUCGCAUGGGGGUUGGUGGAAAGGUUUGUUCUGGUGGGGGAUGGGCUCGCGGCCUAUCAGCUUGUUGGUGGGGUGAUGGCCUACCAAGGCUUUGACGGGUAGCCGGCCUGGGAGGGUGACCGGUCACAUUGGGACUGAGAUACGGCCCAGACUCCUACGGGAGGCAGCAGUGGGGAAUAUAGCACAAUGGGCGAAAGCAUGAUGCAGCGACGCCGCGUGAGGGAUGGAGGCCUGCGGGGUGUAAACCUCUUUCGCUCAUGGUCAAGCCGCAACUGUGGGUUGUGGUGAGGGUAGUGGGUAAAGAAGCGCCGGCUAACUACGUG